UACGUAGGGGGCAAGCGUUGUCCGGAUUUAUUGGGCGUAAAGAGCGUGUAGGCGGCCAGGUAGGUCAGCUGUGAAAACUCGAGGCUCAACCUCGAGAUGUCGGCGGAAACCGUCUGGCUAGAGUCCGGAAGAGGAGAGUGGAAUUCCUGGUGUAGCGGUGAAAUGCGCAGAUAUCAGGAAGAACACCCGUGGCUAAGGCGGCUCUCUAGUACGGUACUGACGCUGAGACGCGAAAAGCGUGGGGAGCGAACAGG
rnacentral:rRNA from 1 species